rnacentral:piRNA from 1 species
UAGAAAACAGAUGAGCGAUUAGUUUGUAAC